CGCAGCUUUCUUCUACCAUACUCGGGAUUUCUUCUCAUACAUUUUGUCAUAGAAACAUUUUAUUUUGUUGAUUCGUUUUUUCUUAUUUUGGUGGUUUUGUCUUCAGAUUUGGUUUUAUUGUAUGUUUUUUUUAGAUGUAUUGUGUCCGCCCACAAAUGUAAAAUAUGUAAUAAGUGGUCUCAUUUCAGACGCCCCCUCAAGGGGUUGUAAAGACUCAGCCUGACCCGUUGUCACCAAAUCUGGAGAAGAGGUGGAGGUCGUGUCCUGGUGAGUUCUAUCCAUUGAAUCUCAUUCUAGAGGGGGAAUGAAAUCUUCUCAUACAUCAGAAAUCGGAGAAUUCCGCAUGAAUCACACGGCAAGACCUUCAUCCUCACUCUACGGGGCCGGAGGGAUCCCCUUCUAUUCGGAUAGACUUGUAUGAACUGUAAACGUUGUUUGGAAAGCAGCUUUGGGAGAGGUGUGAUUUGUUCUUGCUGUGUGUGUCCAUUUCCUGUGAAUGUAAUAUGGGUUGGGUCUAAUCCAGGAGAAAAGGGCCAUCUCCCACAAAUCAGCAGGUUGGGUGGUGGAGCAAGUGGUCACAUAUGUCAUAUGUGGAUGGCUCUAAUCCGGGAGACAGGGGCCAUCUCCCAUAUUUCAGAGGGUUGGGUGGUGGAGGGACUGGUCACAUAUGUGGAUGGCUCUAAUCCGGAAGACAAGCACCAUCUCGUACAUUUCAGCAGGUUGGGCGGUGGAGGGACUGGUGUCAUAAUGUCAUACAUGGUUGGAUCUACUCCGGGAGACAAGGGCCAUCUCCCAUAUUUCAGAGGGUUGGGCGGUGGAGGGGCUGGUGUCAUAAUGUCAUACAUGGUUGGAUCUACUCCGGGAGACAAGGGCCAUCUCCCAUAUUUCAGAGGGUUGGGCGGUGGAGGGACUGGUGUCAUAAUGUCAUACAUGGUUGGGUCUACCCUGGGAGAAAAGGGCCAUCUCCCAUAUUUCAGAGGGUUGGGCGGUGGAGGGGCUGGUGUCAUAAUGUCAUACAUGGUUGGAUCUACUCCGGGAGACAAGGGCCAUCUCCCAUAUUUCUUCGGGUUGGGUGGUGGAGCAAGUGAUCACAUAUGUCAUAUGUGGAUGGCUCUAAUCCGGGAGACAAGGGCCAUCUCCCAUAUUUCAGAGGGUUGGGCGGUGGAGGGACUGGUGUCAUAAUGUCAUACAUGGUUGGAUCUACUCCGGGAGACAAGGGCCAUCUCCCAUAUUUCAGAGGGUUGGGCGGUGGAGGGACUGGUGUCAUAAUGUCAUACAUGGUUGGAUCUACUCCGGGAGACAAGGGCCAUCUCCCAUAUUUCAGAGGGUUGGGCGGUGGAGGGACUGGUGUCAUGUCAUACAUGGUUGGGUCUACCCUGGGAGAAAAGGGCCAUCUCCCAUAUUUCAGAGGGUUGGGUGGUGGAGGGACUGGUGUCAUAAUGUCAUACAUGGUUGGAUCUACCCUGGGAGAAAAGGGCCAUCUCCCAUAUUUCAGAGGGUUGGGUGGUGGAGGGACUGGUGUCAUAAUGUCAUACAUGGUUGGAUCUACUCCGGGAGACAAGGGCCAUCUCCCAUAUUUCUUCGGGUUGGGUGGUGGAGCAGGUGAUCACAUAUGUCAUAUGUGGAUGGCUCUAAUCCGGGAGACAAGGGCCAUCUCCCAUAUUUCAGAGGGUUGGGCGGUGGAGGGACUGGUGUCAUAAUGUCAUACAUGGUUGGGUCUAAUCCGGGAGACAAGGGCCAUCUCCCAUAUUUCUUUGGGUUGGGUGGUGGAGCAGGUGAUCACAUAUGUCAUAUGUGGAUGGCUCUAAUCCGGGAGAAAAGGGCCAUCUCCCAUAUUUCAGAGGGUUGGGCGGUGGAGGGACUGGUCACAUAUGUGGAUGGCUCUAAUCCGGAAGACAAGGACCAUCUCGUACAUUUCAGCAGGUUGGGCGGUGGAGGGACUGGUGUCAUAAUGUCAUACAUGGUUGGGUGGUGGAGGGGCCGGUCUCGUACUUCCUGUGUGUUUGAGAUGUUCUCUCAUCUCUCGGUUAGAUAUCCUUGAACAAUCGUCCUUUCUUCUCUUGCAGGAAUGAAGGUGAGAACGCCCAGAGGGAUUAUGGUGGUGAGUCACGGAGGGCCUGGUGAAGCCGGGUUGGUAGUCAUCCAGCGGUUCUCACCAGAUUUCAAGUAGAUGACUCACCUAUUCUAUUGUCUGAUAUCCGAUCUCAGCCAGACUUAUUAAUCUCUCCAAACACGGCAAAACCCUUCCGAGAAUGCCUUGCUUGCAAGCUGUACUGUCUGUGGUCCCUUCUUUCAAUAAAAAAAAAUUCAAUGCA